UCUUAUUUAUAAUUAAAUAACAAGUCAUUGC
rnacentral:piRNA from 1 species